GGAGAGUUGCUAGAGUGGCCGAAUAGGCGCGACUGGAAAUCGCGUGUCCCUUUUAUGAGGGACCGUGGGUUCGAAUCCCACACUCUCCGCCA
rnacentral:tRNA from 1 species